GAAAUCCCAUUUGGUAAGGUCUAGCCAACCACCAAUAGCGACCUUGAACAUGCGUUGGUAACAGCGUAGGUUAAGCGUAGGAAGUUAGGCGAUAGGGUCAUAAGGCAUGUUAGCCCCGAAAUAAAUUAAGAUGGUGUGCCGACGUAAUUAAGCGAUGCGGAAGGCAACACGCGUGCAAUUGCUAAUGGCGAAGAUUGCCGCGACGCCACGGGGUUGAGAGUC
rnacentral:ncRNA from 1 species